CGUCUUUAAAACGGUCUGAUCCAAUAAAUACACGAGUCAUGGGUGAAAAAUGCAGGUUUCCUGUGUCCCUUGCACGUGCCAGCGAUCAGCUGUAAUGUUUGUUUACGUCAUCACCUGACUGAGAGGCCGUGAGGAGGGAAACACUGGGAGAGAUAAACAUAUUAUAUAGAUAGUGAAAGAGAAGACACAAGGAACACAGUAAUGAAGAGAAACAUGAAGGAAGCGCCGCUGAAUGAACUAAUCUUCCCUACAAGAAGCUGAACUUGAGAAGCAAGGACUGGAUGGCCAAACUGGUCACAAGAAAAGAGGAUUGUGUCUUUUCCAGGCAUCCGUCUAUCAGGACAUAAGGACGCAAGGGAAGCUGUCAGAGAGGAGGAGGAGGAGGAGAAAGUUUUGUAUUGCUGUACAGGAGGAGGAAGAGAUUUUGUGUUGCUGGCAAGAGGAAGAGAUUUUGUGUUGCUGGGAAGGGGAAGAAGAAAUUUUGGGCAGUGAUGGAGAAUGUGGGUCCCUCCUGGCUGGGUCCUGCAUCCUGGUGGUAUGAGUUGCCAGCGCUGCAUCUCUUCUACAGUGCUGCCAUGCCAGGCCACAGUCUGCUGAAGCUGUGCAAGGCUCAGCCAGACCAGCGGUGGGUUGGGGCAGCUGGCAUGGACAGUCGCAAGUAUCGCAUCUGUGGGGAGGCUGGUGCUGAGCUGACCAUUCCUGUCCCUACCGGCACCACCGUCUGGCUCGAGCAGCACCAGAAAUUGCUGGGUGAGAUAAACUGUGCAGGAGACAAGAUGUUGGUGGCUUGAGGUGGGCAGGACGGCAACCCCAGCAACCAGUACAAUGGGCAGAAGGGACAGGGACACAUUGUGAAGCUGGAACUGAAGCUGUUGGCCGAUGUGGGUCUGGUGGGCUUCCCUAACGCUGGCAAGUCCACACUGCUGUGGGCCAUCUCCAGGGCCAGACCCAAGGUGGCCAGCUGCCCCUUCACGACGCUGCAGCUGACCCUGGGUGUGGUGGAGUACAGUGACAUGCGGCGGCUGACCAUCGCUGACCUGCCAGGACUCAUUGAGGGUGCCUGGGCCAACGUGGGGAUGGGGCACCGCUUCCUGCGCCACGUGGAGCGGACACACUUCCUCCUCUUUGUGGUGGACAUCAACGGCUUCCGGCUGUCACCCAAACAGCCAUACCGCUCACCCACCGAGAAUGUCAUGCUGGUCAACAGGGAGUUGGAGCUGUAUUCACCUGACCUGCUGAGUAAGCCAGCACUCCUUAUGGUGAAUAAGAUGGACUCUCCCAAUGCUGAGUCUCGCCUGCAGGAACUCCUUCACAACAUUAAGAGGAUGGAGGACUAUGUGUUGUGUUGCUCCUGUGGUGCCAAACUCACGGAGAACUCAUGGGAUAACUUUGUAAACAUCUCCAUUCCACUGUCUGAGGCAUCCCAGCUGGUGACCAUCCUGGGACACCCCCACCUCAUGGUCCAGACCCUCAGGAACCCUGCUGACCUUGCUUUUGACUUGGUGACUGUCAGGAGUGGGCUGCUCAGGAGUGGGAGAGGAUAUUUGAACCAGAAACCAAAGCCAGCACAACCCACUUCAAAGCUUCCUUGGAGGGUUUCUAUGGACUCAUUCUAGAGAAACUGGUCACUGAGAAAUUUUUGUGCUUAUGUCUUUUUGAACAGUGCAGUGUCCUAAACACAGAGGCAGGCAGUCUCCCUAUUGAAGCAGGCUGAAGCUAAACACUAGAGGCAACAAGAUUCAGUCUACUUUUACAGUGUGCAGCUUUACAUAUAAUUACAGAAGUACAUGAGACUUACCGUAGUUUCAGACUCCUCAUUGGCCUUCCCAAGCACCAGCAGUUUUACCACAAUGGCACAAGACGGGUAGGACAUGGUGCCUCUCGACCUCGAGCUUCUGGCUGAGCUGGAGGAGGAAGCAACCUCUCACUAUACUGAGGAGGAUAACCAGUUUACAGAGCACUGCAAGAAGAGCCUGCCUAAGCCGCCAAUACUCCCUGCUGACAGAUUUGACCGCAACAGACAGUGCAGAGGCAACUUUAGGCAUCAAGACUACAGGAAGGAAGGAGGCUGCAGGGAUCAAGGGGAGUACAGAGGUCAUGGGAAUUAUAGGGAUCGUGGGAAUUACAGGGAUCACAGGUGGGAAUAUUCUGACCACAGGCAAGGGAGGUUUGUCAGUGACCACAGAGAUCAUGAUGACAGCAGAAGGGAUAGCGAGAAGAGGAAGUACAGGUCUGAGAAGGAGAGUGAUGAGUAUGGAAGAAGGAAUUACCAGUCCAGCAAAUACUACAAUGGGUGGGGGGGGGGUGUCAUCCUGUUGAGUUUUGUGAAUCCAGUGGCUGGUAUAUUUAUCUUUCAUCAGGGACUUCACACAAGCUUCCACGCCAUUAAUUCUUUGAGCAGUAACCAAAGAUUACUGACAUUUAAUUUACAUUUAAAUGCCUGCCUGCCUGUCUGUUCAUAUCUUUCUCUCACAACGUACUCACCAUUCACUUGUGAACAUUUAGAUUUUUAGGAAAUAUUUUUGAGCAAGUUCCUUCAUCACAAGGCAACCAUCUACUAAAAAGAAAGAAAAAUGGAAUAUAUGUUGGCAUUUCCUUGAUUGCUUUUGGUGUUAGUGACUUUCCAGAGUGACAAUACAAGUGUUAUCCCCACUACAAGUCAUGCACUAUAUAUAACAUCACUGAGUAUCUUUUCUCUCAUUUUCAUAUAAAUGUUUGUAACAUUUUCAUAUAAAUGUAUGCUAACUUUUAUGUGGACUUACUGUAAGAUUUUUUAAAAGUAAAGUAUUUAUCCAA